GACGAACGCUGGCGGCGUGCUUAACACAUGCAAGUCGAACGGAAAGGCCUGCUUUCCCUUGUGGAUUGCGGGUACUCGAGUGGCGAACGGGUGAGUAACACGUGAGUGAUCUGCCCCCAACUUGGGUAUAAGCCUGGGAAACUGGGUCUAAUUCCCGAUAGCACUUCAGGGUGGUGCCUGUGGUGGAAAACGAUUUUCUAGUGGUUGGGGAUGAGCUCGCGGCCUAUCAGCUUGUUGGUGGGGUAAUGGCCUACCAAGGCGGCGACGGGUAGCCGGCCUGGGAGGGUGGACGGACAGAUUGGGAGUGAGAGACGGCCCAGACUCCGACGGGAGGCAGGAGUGGGGAAGAUUGCACAAUGGGCGGAAGCCUGAUGCAGCGACGCCGCGGGGGGGAUGACGGCCUUCGGGUUGUAACCUCCUUUCGAGAGCGAGGAAGCCACCUGGUUGGAAGGGUGGUGACGGUAGUGGGAGAAGAAGCACCGGCUAACUACGUG
rnacentral:rRNA from 1 species